GAUGAAGAACGUAGCGAAAUGCGAUAAGUAGUGUGAAUUGCAGAAUUCAGUGAAUCAUCGAAUCUUUGAACGCACAUUGCGCCCCUUGGUAUUCCAUGGGGCAUGGCUGUUCGAGCGUCAUUUGUACCUUCAAGCUUUGCUUGGUGUUGGGUGUUUGUCUCGCCUUUGCGUGUAGACUCGCCUUAAAAUAAUUGGCAGCCGGCGUAUUGAUUUCGGAGCGCAGUACAUCUCGCGCUUUGCACUCAUAACGACAGCGUCCAAAAGUACAUUUUACACUCUUGACCUCGGAUCAGGUAGGGAUACCCGCUGAACUUAAGCAUAUCAAUAAGCGGAGGA
rnacentral:misc_RNA from 1 species